rnacentral:rRNA from 1 species
GGUGUAGGCGGCUUUGCAAGUCGGAUGUGAAAUCCCAGGGCCCAACCCUGGAACUGCAUUCGAAACUGCCUCGCUAGAGUCCCGGAGAGGGUGGCGGAAUUCCCGGUGUAGGGGUGAAAUCCGUAGAUAUCGGGAGGAACACCAGUGGCGAAGGCGGCCACCUGGACGGUGACUGACGCUCAGACCCGAAAGCGUGGGGAGCAAACAGGAUUAGAUACCCGAGUAGUCC